UCUCUCCGGGUUCUCCGGCUUCCUCCCACCGUCCAAAGACAUGCAUGUGUAGGUUAAUUGAUAACUCUAAAUUGCCCGUAUCUACCAAGCGGUAGAAAAUGGAUGGAUGGAUGGAUGGAUCAAUACAACACUCAUAUGUGUUCGUUAAAUGUGAAGCUACCACCAGCAGUCAGUUAGUGUAGUUUAGGGGGGAACUGCUAGCCUGGCUCUGUCCAACGGUGAUGAAAUCUGCCUUCCCGAACCUUAAAAUCUCUGUAAUUAACACGCUGUAUCAUGUUUGUUUAAUCUGUACUAAAACCGAAGCGUGAAAACAACACGCUGUGUUUUUCCGGAGGAUUAUGUACGGGAUUAUUGACAGAUUAAACCUUCACCACCCUGCCCUUUUUGAAAGACAAAAAGAAGACGGGACAUCAGGGCUUGAAAGGAAACCAAAUCUGGACAGGACUGAACAGUGACUGGCAGGUGAUCAGCCAGGUAAAAGAGACAUUCAGGUCCUGUAACUUGUGGAGAGCUAAGGCUGAUGGGAGCUCUGUGGGGAGGGAGAAGACCACAAUGGAGGCGCUGCUCUGGACGGAGGACAACGACUACAGACAUGAAAUGGCAGGGUCUGGGCCGGUGUGUGUGUGGCCUGGUAGCCAUUUUUAACACGCGUCACCCAGAGGGAGGGGUCCACCACCCGGUUACAGACGACAGCACCCCGUCUGCAGGAGAGGCAGAGUCUUUCCUCCAGAUGUUGGACCUGCUGCAGGGAUCUGCUCCCAUUCAGACACCAGAGCAUCAGUGAGGUCCAGCACUGAUGCUGGGUGGCCAGGUCCGGCUCCCAGUCGGCGUUCCAGUUCAUCCCACAUGUGUUGGAUGGGGUUUAGGUCAGAGGUCUUUCUGGUCCGCCAUCUUGCAGGCCGUCCCGAAGCUCUGAUUUCUGCUUCCUGCUUCGAGGAGGGAUCUCUGAGGAGCCAUGAGCGAGGAGACACGAGAGCAGCCUUCUCAGAAGUCUUUUACUGUCCGACACGCCCCCCUUAUUGGAUAUCAAGUAUUGAUUGGACGCUGCAGCUGAUCGGACUGAUCUGAUACAUCACAACAUCACUGGAGUUUCAUACCGGAGUGAAGGCAGAUAACAGAUUAAACUCAGCUGUGUCACUCCCAAAAUUAAUUGUAGCUCUGAACAACAAAAGAACCGCAAACGCCAUUUCCAUUCAGUCACGUGUGAGGCUGAUCAUUCCUGAGCGUCGGGUUUGAUAUGAGUUAAAUCAUUUCAAAUUUCCCUGAAACAUUCAGCCUAAUGAUAAUAAUAAUUUCCGAUGUUCACAAGACACCAUAAUCAUAUUCUGGUUUAUUCAAUAAUGAAUUCACAAUCAGAAUAUCAAUAAAUACAGCUGUGAAUAAUGAUUAAAUCAUAUAAACGCAUUCUGCAGGUAGAAAUGAUUCCUGUGGCUCUGAGCAGGACACCGUUUGUUCUUCAUGUACCACAUGUUCAUUUGCACUACCGGACUUUAUUUAUACAUAUACUGCAUCAUCUGCACUCUGUACUGAAUACUGCAAUAACUCAUCUACUGCACUGUUAACUAUUUCCAUAAAUUGCACUAC